UCUAGAUCCUCAAGCACUGUUUGUCUGGGGGACAGGCUGGGGACCACAGCUGGGAGGGGGCAAGGGAAGAAAAGAAUACCAUGGACAGUGAGCAGAAUUAGUGUGGGAGGAGAAGGAAGGCAUAAAAAUGCUGAGCAAGGAGGCGAAGUGAGGAGAAAGACCAAGUAGAACCAGGCCAGAGCUGAGGAGCAAGUCUAGAUGGCGCUCAGGGGACACAGAAGCUGUCCAAGGAGAAUCCAACAGAAUGCACAAUGUUGGAGAGCCUACGGAAACUCCACAGUGCAAACUACAGUGGCCGAGGAAUGAAGGAGCAGGCAGGAAGCUGGAGGCUUAGUAUUGAACCAGAAGAACAUCACAGCUCCUGGGAGAAGACCCAGGAGGGGUGUCGACCUGGCCACCCCAUGCUCCCACCUUGUCCUUAUUUUCCCCAUCUCUCCCAGGCCACAGAUCAACCUUGCACCUGUCUUCUCCCAUAGUCAGCUGCCAAGCAGUGUAAGUCUGUCUGCCUCCUACAGUCCUGGCAUCCACUCCCUGUCCCACUGCUCCUUCCCCGUGGAGAAACCUGCAGCUGGCUGACAGCAGAGUGAGAGGCACUCAGCCUGGAUAAGGUUUACUAAGAGGAUUUCAGACCUUCUUAAAAUCUCUCCUACUGUCUCCAAAUUAAGAAGCCUGGAAACAAAUCUGGAAAACACUAAACUACAUCCUGGCACUCACGUUCUCCUUCCUCUCGUCCCCUCCCCAAACACACAUGCACACUGUCCCCUGUCUACCCAGCUAUAAUCACUAGGCUGCAGCCAGGCCAAUCUGUUCAGACUACUGCAGCAAUCAAUGAGAAGCCAUACAGGUCCUUUGGUGAGUGGUGACCAUCAUGAACCAGGAAAGACUGAAAUUAUUGAAUUGACUCUGCUAUGGUUCAGCAGUCAAAUAGGUUCAGGAUAUUAAAGAUAUUAAAGCUGUUAAAAAUUUUCUAGCUCUGUUCACUCUUUAGAGAGAAUCACUUUAGUUUACUUUAAUAUAAUGCACCAUGGCUUACUACAAUGAGAACUGAAGCAAUUAUCUGGAUAACUCAGGCUAAAAACACUUUUCCUGAAAUUACCAGAUAAUCAUCUUCCCCACCCCAGUCCCACCAAUAAUGAAAAGCUUAUAAUCUGAAGGUCUUAAUCCUCUAUACUUCCUCCCUUUCUCUUCCAAUAUGAGCAAGGUAAAUAUAAAAGCAAACCAAAGCUCUUCCUUUAAAUAGCAUUUCUAACCCAGUGAAUGUCAUUGUUUAUAUUUAAUUAGAGAUUUGAAUAAACAGAAUGAACUAGUAAAGUCAAACUGCAUUUGGCAGGCUGAGCCUAAGGUAAGCAGGUUCAUCUACGAAAGCAAAGGAUAUUAUUUGGGAAUAGUGGGCAGGUUUCUACCUAAAGAUAUAAAAUACAAUAAUUAAUCCCUUAUCUUGAGAGUUAUAUUCCUAAAAAUCUUGUAGAAGGAGAAUUCAUGGUUGAGGAA